UCUCAGUUGGUUUAAGCUACUCAAGCGUUCAAGAUGCAGAGUCAGCUGAUCGUGUUGAUGUAUGCCAUCUCCGUGUAGGUCAGACAUCUGGAGUUUGAUGCCAUCUCUGUUUCCUUGUCAGUGCAGGUCUGGAGUUGACCAAACGGUGGCUGCAGGAGCCUUUGCAAGAGGAAUCAUCAGGAGUCUGGAAGAUUGAGGAUUCUCCACUGGACUGUUGGAGAAAAGGUUCCCUUGGAGAGUUCAUCAAUGAGCUUGACGUCUUGAUAAGUUCCUUUCCUGAGGAUGGCUCACCUCUCACAGUUCUGGACCUAUCUGCUGCCUUUGAUACGGUGAACCAUCAGAUCCUCCUCUCCA
rnacentral:lncRNA from 1 species